rnacentral:rRNA from 1 species
AAUAUUGCACAAUGGGGGAAACCCUGAUGCAGCGACGCCGCGUGGGUGAAGGAGCGCUUCGGCGUGUAAAGCCCUAUCAGCAGGGAAGAAAGAAGACGGUACCUGACUAAGAAGCCCCGGCUAACUACGUGCCAGCAGCCGCGGUAAUACGUAGGGGGCAAGCGUUAUCCGGAUUUACUGGGCGUAAAGGGAGCGUAGACGGCUGUGCAAGUCUGGUGUGAAAGGCGGGGGCUUAACCCCCGGACUGCAUUGGAAACUGCAUGGCUGGAGUGCCGGAGGGGUAAGCGGAAUUCCUAGUGUAGCGGUGAAAUGCGUAGAUAUUAGGAGGAACACCGGUGGCGAAGGCGGCUUACUGGACGGCAACUGACGUUGAGGCUCGAAAGCGUGGGGAGCAAACA